CCUACGGGAGGCAGCAGUGAGGAAUAUUGGUCAAUGGGCGUAAGCCUGAACCAGCCAAGUCGCGUGAGGGAUGAAGGUUCUAUGGAUCGUAAACCUCUUUUACAAGGGAGUAAAGUGUGGGACGUGUCCUAUUUUGUAUGUACCUUAUGAAUAAGGAUCGGCUAACUCCGUGCCAGCAGCCGCGGUAAUACGGAGGAUCCGAGCGUUAUCCGGAUUUAUUGGGUUUAAAGGGUGCGUAGGGGGUCUUUCAAGUUAGCGGUGAAAGUAGGUGGCACAACCAUAGUAUUGCCGUUGAAACUGGGGGGCUUGAGUAUGUUUGAGGCAGGCGGAAGGCGUGGUGUAGCGGUGAAAUGCUUAGAUAUCACGCAGAACCCCGAUUGCGAAGGCAGCCUGCCAAGCCAUGACUGACGCUGAUGCACGAAAGCGUGGGGAUCAAACAGGAUUAGAUACCCGAGUAGUC
rnacentral:rRNA from 1 species